UGUUGUUUGAUUGAUAUUCAAUGGCCUAUUAUUUUUUUAACAACCCUUAACAGCCCUUGCUAACGAAGCUUCAUCUAUUUUACUGAAAAUAUGUUUGUGUUCAAAGAGCAAGAAAUUCUGGACACUGCUCACAGCUGUCCUGCAUACUUCCUGCACAGUCUGGGAGAGAAUCUGCCAGUCUUGGGGGCUUGUGGUGAGGUGAAUGGCAAAGCCUCAGUCACUUCAAGAGAAACAAAAUUGGGCUUUUAUUCAGGUAGGUGUUUUUUUUUCCCCUCCCAGAAAUGCUAUGGAGCCAUAUCCUCUAUUGUAAUCAAACAGUGUUCUUUGUAGUUGUCAAUCAUAAUUUCUCUGCGCUGGCUCUGGUAGACAAACCAGCACGCUCACACAGAUCCACAGAGUCUUAAGAAAUAAAAAAGCUUACUUUCUCUGAAAUCACUUUGGCCAGACUCCUUUUAUUUAAUAGGAAAGUUGUGAUACAGUGCAACAAUACAUCGUGCAUGCCAGAACAAGAUGAAUGCCACUUUUGUGUAGGUAGGGAAAUAGUUGUGAUGUACAAAAGAGAUAUUGUUUUUUCCAUCACUUUGGCCAAACUUUACACUUAGCUUCUCAUGUCGGGAGAGGGUGUGACAGCAGAUAGGAUGUAGCCUUUGAAACUCCAUCUCCGCAGAGAAAAGACAGAUGGAAUCCAGCUGGCGGAUAUCACACACGUUUUCUGUUCUCCCUGAUAUCACAGAUCUGAUAAACACGGAAGAAUAACAAGGCUUUAUAGCAUGCAGAUGAACAGAGGAGCCUAUCUGUAUGUAAAAAAGAAGGGCCUCAGUUGGCUGAAUACUUAUUUCUGCUAAAUGAAAGUUAACUCCCACGAUCACAUAAAGCGAGAAUCUACCUGCUCAAGGCACAGAUUUGAUUAUACACUAUACAAAUUUAUUGACCUCCCAUGGCUGUUGUUACUCUGAUCUCAUUCAACAUUGUGUCAUGUCACACUCAUAUUAAUAGCAAGGAGAAGGAAUGGAGGCGGAGGAUGGGCGCACUGAGCUCACCAGCUUGUGUGAGUCUUUGCCUCUGAGAGCGUGAUUCGUAGUCUGUGAUCAUCCAAAGUCUGUGCUCUGGUUUUUAAAAUAAAAUCUUAGAAACCUGGGAAUAAUGUACUAAGGUAAGUGUUGUCUCUUAAUGGGAACCAGGAAAUGGUAGCUGCACAUACCUGAGACAGAGGAUGACUCAUUCCGUGACCUCCUUUGGCCUCACCACGUCCUCCUGUAACCUCAUUUUUCCUGCUUCAGACAGAGUUGCAAGGCUUUGAUAUCUAGAGGAUUUUGUGAUGUGAUUUUGCUCCCCAGAAAAACUACAGCAAUUAAUAAGAGGCCUAAUUAAGGAUCUACUAUGACUGCUGGCUUCUUUGGUGCAGAUAGUGGGUCAGAUUGUAAUAUAUUUUUGUUUUACAUGGUGAAUUCUGAUCCACUUUCACUAAGUGAAAGCAGCAUUGCCAAAACAGUGAACUUGUGAUAGAAGGAAGCAUCUUCUUUGUGUAAAUAUCCUCCAUAUCUGAAAGAGCUGACACUGAUAUGAGUUUCACAAAGAGGUAAAUAUUAAGUGUAUACAUAUAAUAAAUUCACCCCCAUGAUGGCACUCGAACAUCUUUCCAUUUUGCCUUGUAUGAAGUUACAGUGAAGCGGAAGAGAAUCAUGCUGGCAAUCUUUGCCUUCCUGAGGCCUUUUCAAUGGUAAGCAGGUUAUUUUUUCCUUUGUUUUUGUGUAUUUAUGGCUGUGUAUAUAUGGCUGUUGCAUUUGCGCACAUCCUCACUUGUUGCAGCCUAGAACUCUCCUACUCAGCUAUCAUAGCUGUGCUUUUCAUCACAUUACAGUACUACAGUGAUAACUUUAGUAACAGUCAUGUACUGUGCAGAAGCUCCUGUACAGUGAAGUACAAGCUUAUCUGUUCCCAUAUCUGAUUUGGAAUGUUUAUUAGCUCUUGUUUCAUGAAGUACCAAGUUAAAACAUUGAAGUUUUCAAACUAAAAUCACAAGAGUAAUGCUGCCAACAGUUGUGCUGUUUCCUCAAGGAAAUAAGAGGCUAAAUUUGGCUUUCAAGCCCACUUUGUGACUUGCUUCUUGCACUCACAGCUGUAACACAGGGUAGAUGUCUUCUAAGAAACCUGCCCAGUAGUCUGAAUCUUGCUCCAGACUCAUAACUGCCACACAUGUACCCCUUGCCACAACCUGCAAAGAGUGAAGUGAUCAGAAAGCAUAGCAGGAUGAGAAUAAAACACAUUAAUGUUCUGAAUGGCCUUAAAGAGAUCUUAUCUUCUUAUGCAGCAUGUAAAAUGCACUGUUCACAUCACCUUGAACCUUGAUGCUUGUUGACAUUGAGAAGAACAGGCUCUACCACAAACAGUUGAGAAGCAAAAUCAAGAGGGAUCUCCCUGUGCAUUUUCCCAACCGUGUGUUCCACAUCAAUCCAAUGCCACCAAUCCGGUCGCCACCACACCCACAAGAAAAUGUUCAUCCAUGUAAUACUCAAGGUUUGUUGUCAAAUCUAGGCUUCAGUAAAUAGUAAAAGGAUGAGAAUUGUGGUCCUGAGACUUUCUUCUUAUCCAACAUAGUCCAUAGCAUAUUCUAAGCCACAGAAUGGGAAGCCUCCUUCAGACACUGGCUUUUAGAACUGGAAUUGGAGUCCCACAAAAUCCGUCCUGUAAUAGGCAUUCUGCUGGGAUUCCCACUUAAUGUUAGGUAGCAAAUUUCAAAUGAUAUCACUCUAAAUCAACACAAUCUGCCCACAGCAGAGGGUUGGAACUAGGUUUAAGGUUUUUUGAAGCUAAGCCUCUCCAUGACUUUCUGAUUUUAAAUAUGAGUGAGGACACUGUUUGGCAUCAGUUCUGUCAAUCCUGUUGCUUUGACACCACACCACGCCUGUAAGAACAGCAAAGAAUAUUGCUUGCUUAUGUCCUCCAUUCAACUCCUCUCUGUUUUCUUUCAAUGUUUCUAAUUAUUGUAUUGUGGAAGGAGAGGGGAAACACCGUGGUCAGACAAAAGGUGAAAGAAUAACAUGCCCAGGACUCAGCAGCAAGUAACUUGUCAACCCGACCACUUCUUCCAGACACAUGAAAAAAGGAGAGGAAGCAAACAUAGAUAGUGGAAGGUCCUUUAAUCUAUCAGAAAAGAAACAUCACAGGAACCAAAUUAAAUCCAGACUCAUUCAUAUGA